AUUGAACGCUGGCGGCAGGCCUAACACAUGCAAGUCGAGCGGUAGCACAAAGGGGCUUGCUCCUUGGGCGACGAGUGGCGGACGGGUGAGUAAUGUCUGGGAAACUGCCUGAUGGAGGGGGAUAACUACUGGAAACGGUAGCUAAUACCGCAUAACGUCGCAAGACCAAAGAGGGGGACCUUCGGGCCUCUUGCCAUCAGAUGUGCCCAGAUGGGAUUAGCUAGUAGGUGGGGUAAUGGCUCACCUAGGCGACGAUCCCUAGCUGGUCUGAGAGGAUGACCAGCCACACUGGAACUGAGACACGGUCCAGACUCCUACGGGAGGCAGCAGUGGGGAAUAUUGCACAAUGGGCGCAAGCCUGAUGCAGCCAUGCCGCGUGUAUGAAGAAGGCCUUCGGGUUGUAAAGUACUUUCAGCGGGGAGGAAGGUGAUACGGUUAAUAACCGUGUCAAUUGACGUUACCCGCAGAAGAAGCACCGGCUAACUCCGUGCCAGCCGCCGCGGUAA
rnacentral:rRNA from 1 species